AAACUGCGGAUAGCUCAUUAAAUCGCCUCUAUUUUGUUUGAUAGUCCUCCACUGGAUAUCCGAGGAAAAUCUAGAGCCAAUACUUGCACUGAUAUCUAACAAGCAUAUGCUUCUUGUUAGAUGCAUUUAUUGGAUAUCCGAUCGCUCACAUUGCGAGCGUUAGGUGAUUCUAAAUGACUUUGCUGAUCGUAUGGCCUUGUGCCGACGACAGAUCAAACAAGAUCGCGCCCUAUCAAUUUGUUGUUAGGAUAUUUUCCUAACAAGGUUGUAACGGGUGACGGGGAAUCAGGGUUUGAUUCCGGAGAGGGAGCAUGAGAUAUAGCUACCACAUCUAAGGAAGGCAGCAGGCGCGCAAAUUACCCACUCCCGACACGGGGAGGUAGUGACGAGAAAUAUCGGCUCCUAUUCAAUUGAGUAGGAGACCGAAAUGGACGAAAUUCAGGUCCAUUCGUGAGUAACAAGCAGAGGGCAAGUCUGGUGCCAGCAGCCGCGGUAAUUCCAGCUCUGCACGCAUAUGCGAGAUUUGUUGCAUUUAAAAAGCUCGUAGUCGGACGGUUCCACAAUUUUGUCGAUUGGACACUGCAUGUGCUGCAUAAUUUUGUCUACCUAACUAAGGAGGCAACAAAAUUUUUGUUAGUUCACUACAGUGCUCUUAAUAUUGACUAGUUGUGGACAAACGCAAGCUCCUGAUCUGCCCUUAAUUGGGUGUAUCAGCUGUAAGUUUGCGGACGUACCUUGAACAAAUCGGCUUGUUCAAAGUAGGCCUAGUGCCUGGACAUUCUAGCAUGGAAUGUUCGAUCGAGACCUGAUCGUUUGGUCGGAAACGAGUAAGGUCCAGGUCAAAAGAGACAUUUGGGGGCAUAAGAACUCGGCCGCGAGAGGUGAAAUUCUAAGACCGGCCGAGGUCUAACAAAAGCGAAAGCAUUUGCCAAGAAUGUUUUCAUUGAUCAAGAACGAAAGUUGGAGGAGCGAAAACGAUCAGAUACCGUUGUAGUUCCAACUUUAAACUAUGCCGGCUGUCGGGGCCAGUUCGGUACAUCCGUACUAAUUGACCUCCCAGGGAAACCUUAGCAGGGUUCUGGGGGGAGUACGGUCGCAAGUCUGAAACUUAAAGGAAUUGACGGAAGGGCACCACCAGGAGUGGAGCCUGCGGCUUAAUUUGACUCAACGCGGGGAAACUUACCCGGUCCGGACAUCGGAAGGAUUGACAGACUGAUCGCUCUUUCAUGAUACGGUGAAAGGUGGUGCAUGGCCGUUCAUAGUUGGUGGAGCGAUUUGUCUGGUUAAUUCCGUUAACGAACGAGACUUCUUCCUUCAUUUAGUAGAUUUAAUUGGGGUUUAGAUCAACUAAUUGAAGGGACUAACGCUAUUUAAAAGCGUAGGAAGUAAUCCGAUAACAGGUCUGUUAUGCCCUUAGA
rnacentral:rRNA from 1 species